UCGGGGUACUCGAGCGGCGAACGGGUGAGUAACACGUGAGCAACCUGCCCUAGGCUUUGGGAUAACCCCGGGAAACCGGGGCUAAUACCGAAUAGGACCUCUGACCGCAUGGUUGGUGGUGGAAAGUUUUUCGGCCUGGGAUGGGCUCGCGGCCUAUCAGCUUGUUGGUGGGGUGAUGGCCUACCAAGGCGACGACGGGUAGCCGGCCUGAGAGGGCGACCGGCCACACUGGGACUGAGACACGGCCCAGACUCCUACGGGAGGCAGCAGUGGGGAAUAUUGCACAAUGGGCGGAAGCCUGAUGCAGCGACGCCGCGUGAGGGAUGACGGCCUUCGGGUUGUAAACCUCUUUCAGCAGGGACGAAGCGUAAGUGACGGUACCUGCAGAAGAAGCGCCGGCCAACUACGUGCCAGCAGCCGCGGUAAGACGUAGGGCGCGAGCGUUGUCCGGAUUUAUUGGGCGUAAAGAGCUCGUAGGCGGCUUGUCGCGUCGACUGUGAAAACCCGCAGCUCAACUGCGGGCCUGCAGUCGAUACGGGCAGGCUAGAGUUCGGUAGGGGAGACUGGAAUUCCUGGUGUAGCGGUGAAAUGCGCAGAUAUCAGGAGGAACACCGGUGGCGAAGGCGGGUCUCUGGGCCGAUACUGACGCU
rnacentral:rRNA from 1 species